rnacentral:rRNA from 1 species
CACCUACGGGUGGCAGCAGUGAGGAAUAUUGCGCAAUGGGCGAAAGCCUGACGCAGCGACGCCGCGUGGAGGAUGAAGGUCUUAGGAUUGUAAACUUCUGUUAAGCGGGAAGAAAGACAUGGCUUUAAUAGAGCCGUGGGAUGACGGUACCGCUAGAGAAAGCACCGGCUAACUUCGUGCCAGCAGCCGCGGUAAUACGAAGGGUGCAAACGUUAUUCGGAUUAAUUGGGCGUAAAGGGUACGUAGGCGGUACGCUAAGUCAACUGUUAAAUCUCCCGGCCUAACUGGGAAUCAGCAGUAGAUACUGGUGUGCUAGAGGAUGGAAGAGAGAAGUGGAAUUCUUGGAGUAGAGGUAAAAUUCGUAGAUCUCAAGAGGAACACCGAUGGCGAAGGCAGCUUCUUGGUCCAUAUCUGACGCUCAGGUACGAAAGCGUGGGGAGCAAACAGGAUUAGAUACCCUGGUAGUCCACGCUGUAAACGAUGAUCACUAGACGUUGGUUCUGCUCUGCAGAAUUAGUGUCGUAGCUAACGCGUUAAG